rnacentral:rRNA from 1 species
AGAGUUUGAUCAUGGCUCAGGAUGAACGCUGGCGGCGUGCCUAACACAUGCAAGUCGAACGGGUUAAGGGAAAUUUCGGAUGGAACUUAACUUAGUGGCGGACGGGUGAGUAACGCGUGGAUAACCUGCCUCACACUGGGGGAUAGCAGCUGGAAACGGCUGGUAAUACCGCAUAAGACCACGGUGCCGCAUGGCACCGGGGUAAAAGAUUUAUCGGUGUGAGAUGGAUCCGCGUCUGAUUAGCCAGUUGGCGGGGUAACGGCCCACCAAAGCGACGAUCAGUAGCCGGCCUGAGAGGGUGAACGGCCACAUUGGGACUGAGACACGGCCCAAACUCCUACGGGAGGCAGCAGUGGGGAAUAUUGCACAAUGGGCGCAAGCCUGAUGCAGCCAACGCCGCGUGAGUGAAGAAGUAUUUCGGUAUGUAAAGCUCUAUCGGCAGGGAAGAAAGGCCCGAAAGGGAGAUGACGGUACCUGACUAAGAAGCCCCGGCUAACUACGUGCCAGCCGCCGC